rnacentral:tRNA from 11 species
GCUCGAGUGGCGGAAUAGGCAGACGCGCACGGUUCAGGUCCGUGUGGUAGAGAUACCGUGGGGGUUCAACUCCCCCCUCGAGCA